AUUGAACGCUGGCGGCAUGCUUUAUACAUGCAAGUCGAACGGUGUAGCGAUACACAGUGGCGCACGGGUACGUAACACGUAUGCAACCUACCUUACAUUGGGGGAUAGCCUUUCGAAAGGGAGAUUAAUACCGCAUAAAACAGUAACUAGGCAUCUAGUAGCUGUUACAGAUUUAUCGAUGUAAGCUGGGCAUGCGUCCAAUUAGUUAGUUGGCGAGGUAAUGGCUCACCAAGACGAUAAUUGGUAGGGGAACUGAGAGGUCAAUCCCCCACACUGGCACUGAGAUACGGGCCAGACUCCUACGGGAGGCAGCAGUAGGGAAUAUUGGGCAAUGGGCGCAAGCCUGACCCAGCCAUGCCGCGUGCAGGAAGAAGGCGUUAUGCGUUGUAAACUGCUUUUAUACAGGAAGAAACGACCCUUGCGAGGGGCAUUGACGGUACUGUAUGAAUAAGCACCGGCUAACUCCGUGCCAGCAGCCGCGGUAACAC
rnacentral:rRNA from 1 species